AAUGAACGCUGGCGGCGUGCCUAAUACAUGCAAGUCGAACGCGAGAGGAGGGAGCUUGCUCCCUCUGAUCGAGUGGCGGACGGGUGAGUAACACGUAGGCAACCUGCCCAUCAGUCCGGGAUAACCGCGGGAAACCGUGGCUAAUACCGGAUGAUCCUCUCCACCGCGGGGUGGGGAGUUGAAAGACGGUUUCGGCUGUCGCUGAUGGAUGGGCCUGCGGCGCAUUAGCUGGUUGGCGGGGUAACGGCCCACCAAGGCAACGAUGCGUAGCCGACCUGAGAGGGUGAUCGGCCACACUGGGACUGAGACACGGCCCAGACUCCUACGGGAGGCAGCAGUAGGGAAUCUUCCGCAAUGGACGCAAGUCUGACGGAGCAACGCCGCGUGAGUGAAGAAGGGUUUCGGCUCAUAAAACUCUGUUGUUAAGGAAGAACGACAGGUAGAGUAACUGCUACCUGUGUGACGGUACUUAACCAGAAAGCCACGGCUAACUACGUGCCAGCAGCCGCGGUAA
rnacentral:rRNA from 1 species